UACGUAGGGUGCGAGCGUUGUCCGGAAUUAUUGGGCGUAAAGAGCUCGUAGGCGGUCUGUCGCGUCGGUCGUGAAAACUUGGGGCUUAACCCUGAGCUUGCGGUCGAUACGGGCAUGACUGGAGUUCGGUAGGGGAGACUGGAAUUCCUGGUGUAGCGGUGAAAUGCGCAGAUAUCAGGAGGAACACCGGUGGCGAAGGCGGGUCUCUGGCCCGAUACUGACGCUGAGGCACGAAAGCGUGGGGAGCAAACAGG
rnacentral:rRNA from 1 species